CGCUGUCGGUUCAUCGCUCGCGAUGUUUAACUGACAUGAUUGUGGGACGUCCUACCGGUGGACUUAGCCUCUUCUCUCCGGAGGGGAGGCGGUCCAGCUAAUAUCCCAUCGCGGUGCUUUUCAUCGAGUGUCGAGGUGGGCCGGUACGUUUACUUUGAACAAAUUAGAGUGCUCAAAGCAGGCCAUCCUCGCCUGAAUACUGUGUGCAUGGAAUAAUGGAAUAGGACCUCGGUUCUAUUUUGUUGGUUUUCGGAACCCCGAGGUAAUGAUUAAUAGGGACAGAUGGGGGCAUUCGUAUUGCGACGUUAGAGGUGAAAUUCUUGGAUCGUCGCAAGACGGACAGAAGCGAAAGCAUUUGCCAAAAAUGUUUUCAUUAAUCAAGAACGAAAGUUAGAGGUUCGAAGGCGAUCAGAUACCGCCCUAGUUCUAACCAUAAACGAUGCCAGCUAGCGAUCCGCCGAAGUUCCUUUGAUGACUCGGCGGGCAGCUUCCGGGAAACCAAAGCUUUUGGGUUCCGGGGGAAGUAUGGUUGCAAAGCUGAAACUUAAAGGAAUUGACGGAAGGGCACCACCAGGAGUGGAGCCUGCGGCUUAAUUUGACUCAACAC
rnacentral:rRNA from 1 species